UACGAAGGGGGGCUAGCGUUGCUCGGAAUCACUGGGCGUAAAGGGUGCGUAGGCGGGUUUUUAAGUCAGGGGUGAAAUCCUGGAGCUCAACUCCAGAACUGCCUUUGAUACUGAAGAUCUUGAGUCCGGGAGAGGUGAGUGGAACUGCGAGUGUAGAGGUGAAAUUCGUAGAUAUUCGCAAGAACACCAGUGGCGAAGGCGGCUCACUGGCCCGGUACUGACGCUGAGGCGCGACAGCGUGGGGAGCAAACAGG
rnacentral:rRNA from 1 species